rnacentral:tRNA from 1 species
GGGGGAUUAGCUCAGCUGGGAGAGCGCCUGCAUGGCAUGCAGGAGGUCAUCGGUUCGAUCCCGUUAUCCUCCACCA